rnacentral:rRNA from 1 species
UACGUAGGGGGCAAGCGUUGUCCGGAAUCAUUGGGCGUAAAGAGCGCGUAGGCGGUCCAGUAAGUCCGCUCUGAAAGUCCGGGGCUCAACCCCGGGAGGCGGGCGGAUACUGUCGGGCUAGAGUCCGGAAGAGGCGAGUGGAAUUCCUGGUGUAGCGGUGAAAUGCGCAGAUAUCAGGAGGAACACCGGUGGCGAAGGCGGUGGUCUGGGCCGGCACUGACGCUGAGGAGCGAAAGCGUGGGUAGCAAACAGG